AGAAACCAUCUCCUGAUCUUCACCAGUGACCCCUGCUAGAAGGUAUUGGCCUUAAGAACCAAAAAGAGCCCUAAAUAAGAUCACUGUACCAGAGCGGGGGUCUCACUGUGUCCCUGCAAUGAAUAUGGGAUACAGCUGGAGGUGAUGACUCUACCACAAGUCAGCGACAUGGUGGCCACCAUGUCAGGAUCAGAUGACCUGCACUUCAGCAAGAGGCAGAUUCCGGGCUCGGUCUCUGCACUCACCCACCGGACUUUCUGCAGUCAGACGUAUUCACUAAAGAAGUGAGUUUCCUGCUGCAUCAAAGGCAGAUUCCAGGCUUGGUCUCUG